CAACACUGAUGAUGAUUUCAAGAAUCACUUGGAAGUCAACCCAUGUGCAAAGUUUGAGGUGAUAUUUGUCUAGGACGAUUUCUGAAUUCUGACUACCACGAUUGCUAAUUUUGAGCUUCUUGUGUUAAAAUGUGUGCAAGGAAGUCAAGGUGAUUUGUUUGGAGGGUUGCUUCCAUCCUUUUCCGUUGGCCUCCUUGUAUCUGUUGUUUUACAUGAGCAAUGAAGUGCUAUAGCUUGCUGGGAAGUUGGGUUAUUUGGGGUAAACCCUUCACUGACCUUGGUGAUGCAUGGUGAAU
rnacentral:lncRNA from 1 species